AUUCCUACGGGGCGCAGCAGUGGGGAAUAUUGCACAAUGGGGGAAACCCUGAUGCAGCGAUGCCGCGUGGAGGAAGAAGGUUUUCGGAUUGUAAACUCCUUUUAUCAGGGACGAUAAUGACGGUACCUGAAGAAAAAGCUCCGGCUAACUACGUGCCAGCAGCCGCGGUAAUACGUAGGGGGCGAGCGUUGUCCGGAAUCACUGGGCGUAAAGGGCGCGUAGGCGGUUUAAUAAGUCAGUGGUGAAAACUGAGGGCUCAACCCUCAGCCUGCCACUGAUACUGUUAGACUUGAGUAUGGAAGAGG
rnacentral:rRNA from 1 species